rnacentral:rRNA from 1 species
CCUACGGGGGGCAGCAGUGAGGAAUAUUGGUCAAUGGACGAGAGUCUGAACCAGCCAAGUAGCGUGAAGGAUGACUGCCCUAUGGGUUGUAAACUUCUUUUAUAUGGGAAUAAAAUGUUCCACGUGUGGGAUUUUGUAUGUACCAUAUGAAUAAGGAUCGGCUAACUCCGUGCCAGCAGCCGCGGUAAUACGGAGGAUCCGAGCGUUAUCCGGAUUUAUUGGGUUUAAAGGGAGCGUAGGUGGAUUGUUAAGUCAGUUGUGAAAGUUUGCGGCUCAACCGUAGAAUUGCAGUUGAAACUGGCAGUCUUGAGUGCAGGAGAGGUGUGCGGAAUUCGUGGUGUAGCGGUGAAAUGCUUAGAUAUCACGAAGAACUCCGAUUGCGAAGGCAGUUCACUGGACUGCAACUGACACUGAGGCUCGAAAGUGUGGGUAUCAAACAGGAUUAGAUACCCGAGUAGUC